AAAUGGGUGUCUCAGGGGUGAUACCAUGAUCAUGAAGGUGGUUUUCCCAGGGUGAGGCUUAUCCAUUGCACUCCAGAUGUGCUGACCCCUGUGACUCCCCAAAUGUGGGAAACUCGACGACUGCAUGAUUUGUGAUAGUGGGGGACUGCGUUCGCGCUUUCCCCAG
ensembl:snRNA U1 U1 spliceosomal RNA